rnacentral:rRNA from 1 species
UGAUCGCUCACCCGCUACUUGGAUAUCUGUGACAAUUCUAGAGCUAAUACAUGCAAACGAGCGCUGACCUCCGGGGAUGCGUGCAUUUAUCAGACCUAAAACCCGCGCGGGGUGCUGCCGCGUGGCGGCCCCCGGCCUGUUUGGUGACUCUAGAUAACCUUGGGCCGAUCGCUCGCCCUCGCGGCGGCGACGACUCAUUCGAAUGUCUGCCCUAUCAUCUUUCGAUGGUACUCUAUGUGCCUACCACGGGUAACGGGGAAUCAGGGUUCGAUUCCGGAGAGGGAGCCUGAGAAAUGGCUACCACAUCCAAGGAAGGCAGCAGGCGGGCAAAUUACCCAUUCACGACACGUGGAGGUAGUGACGAAAAAUAACAAUACAGGACUCUUUCGAGGCCCUGCAAUUGGAAUGAGUGUACUUUAAAUCCUUUGGCGAGUACCAAUUGGAGGGCAAGUCUGGUGCCAGCAGUCGCGGUAAUUCCAGCUCCAAUAGCGUAUCUUAAAGUUGCUGCAGUUAAAAAGCUCGUAGUUGGAUCUCGGGGCUGGGCUGACGGUCCGCCGAAAGGCGUGCCACCGACUGUCCCGGCCCCUGCCCUCAGCGCCCCCUCGAUACUCUUGGUUGAGUGUCUUGCGGGGUUCGAAGCGUUUACUUUGAAAAAAUGUUCAAAGCAGGCCCGGUUGCACGAAUACUGCAGCUAGGAAUAAUGGAAUCGGACUCCGGUUCUAUUUUGUGGGUUUUCUCAAUGGACUGGGGCCAUGAGAGGGACGGCCGGGGGCAUUCCGCUAGAGGUGAAAUUCUUGGACCGCCGCAAAAAGGACGAAAGCGAAAGCAUUUGCCAAGAAUGUUUUAAUUAAUCAAGAAGGAAAGUCGGAGGUCCAAAUACGAUCAGAUACCAUCGUAGUUCCGACCAUAAAUGAUGCCCGGGAAACCAAAGUCUUUGGGUUCCGGGGGGAGUAUGGUUACAAAGCUGAAACUAAAAGGAAUUGAUGGAAGGGCACCACUAGGAGUGGAGCCUGCGGCUUAAUUUGACUCAACACGGGAAACCUCACACGGCCCGGACACAGAAAGGAUUGACAGAUUGAUAGCUCUUUCUCGAUACUGUGGGUGGUGGUGCAUGGCCGUUCGUAGUUGGUGGAGCGAUUUGUCUGGUUAAUUCCGACAAUGAACGAGACUCUGGCAGACGUGCAGUCGCCCCCUGGCGUUCGAGCCCCACACCUCCUCACCUGGAGGCGGCUCCUGCUCGCGGAACUCAACCCGCCCUCCCGUUCGGGGCGGAGGGCCGGUCCCGACUGGAUACGCUCCUGACAAAAGCCCCCCCUCCCCCAGAUCGUUCUCGUGCCGCGCCGCCUCUGAGGUCAAAGACGGAGAGCGCGGGGCAGACGUCCGGGGAGGUCCUCCUCCGCAAACAGGGCCGUUGUCUCCGGA